GACAGCAGCCGCCGCGGGAACACAGAGGGUGCGAGCGUUAAUCGGAUUUACUGGGCGUAAAGCGUGCGUAGGCGGCUUCUUAAGUCGGAUGUGAAAUCCCUGAGCUUAACUUAGGAAUUGCAUUCGAUACUGGGAAGCUAGAGUAUCGGAGAGGAUGGUAGAAUUCCAGGUGUAGCGGUGAAAUGCGUAGAGAUCUGGAGGAAUACCGAUGGCGAAGGCAGCCAUCUGGCCUAAUACUGACGCUGAGGUACGAAAGCAUGGGGAGCAAACAGGAUUAGAUACCCCCGUAGUCCCUGUCUCUUAUAC
rnacentral:rRNA from 1 species